rnacentral:tRNA from 1 species
GGCCCUGGUAGCUGAGUGGUCAGAGCCACGGACUGUCGAUCCUGAGGGCCCGGGUUCGAUUCCCGGCUGGGUCG